GAGGUGGUUGAACUGAUGAUAACACUUAGUUAACAAAUUAAAAUAUACUCUUUAUUCCAACAACUUUGUAGAUAUAAAUAGUUACGCGUGGUGCGUGUAGAUGUAUUCUCAGCGAAGUAUAAAUAGUAAGUUAAACUGAUGAUUGAUUAAUGAUCGAAAAACCAGUCAAGAGAUGGUGACUGACGUAGAUGAAAAACCAGUGAAGUUCGGUGACGAUGCUGUCGCAGAGAAAAAAUGUUGCUGGGUGUUGGUCGUCCCACCAACGGUCGCUUGUGGGUGGAAAUAACCGUUGAACAUGGAAAAAACCCGACCUUCCCAUUUUUUAUCUGAUUGAACAAUAACCCUAAGGAACGUCUCGAAUUGAAGGAUGUUUUGUAGCAAUUAAGGGUCUUGACAGUAAAGUAAAAUUGCUAGUAGCCGCUUUGACCAAAGGAUGGAUUCUGGUUUAUGUAGAGAGUCACCGGACGUAACAACCUAAUACUUCUUCAUUAAUGUUUUAUGUAAAUAUUUAUCGAUUUUUACGUAAAGUGUUUGUGUAGAUUGUAGAUUAUACAUCUAAACUGUAAAUAUGGAUAAAAUAGAUCAUUAAUUUUUCACAAAUUAACAAACAUAAUUAUUACUGAAAUUUGCUUAUGCGCGGUGUUUUCCAACAGGUAAAUAAAAGUUUACAGGCUGAUUUGCAGUAUUAUUCUAAAUAGAAAUUAUCAAAUAAGCAUAGAAGCCUUACAAAAGUCUUUAAAAAUUAUCAUAUCAAAAUUACCAAAAAGUACCAUAAAACUUAUAACUCCAGGUAGGUAUAAAGAGUCUGCUGUGCUGCUUUCUGUCGAAGAUGCCUACAUGGCUUAAUUUGAAUGCUUAAUUAUCUGUCUAAAUACCCUGAAUAUCUUUUACAUUAUGAGUUUACACUCUUUGAAACUUUUUGUAAUCGCAUUUGAAAUGAUUUUUAAAGGCUUUCAUUAAAUGUUUCGUUAAACUGGUUUAAGUUAUUACAAAGUUUCUAAAAUUUCGUGUCAUACUAUUUAAUGCAUAAAAUUAGGGAUAUUCGUUCUUUAAUAAAAUUUAUC